AUGAAGAAGCUCAAGAAGGAGAGAAAGAAGAUUGAGGCUUUCAUUGGGCAAUAUGUCGAUGAAUCCACUUCAUCUGAGUCCUAUUGCCCAAUGAAAGCCUCAAUCUUCUUUCUCUCCUUCUUGAGCUUCUUCAUGA
rnacentral:pre_miRNA from 1 species